AGUGAACGCUGGCGGUAGGCCUAACACAUGCAAGUCGAACGGCAGCACAGUAAGAGCUUGCUCUUACGGGUGGCGAGUGGCGGACGGGUGAGGAAUACAUCGGAAUCUACUUUUUCGUGGGGGAUAACGUAGGGAAACUUACGCUAAUACCGCAUACGACCUACGGGUGAAAGCAGGGGAUCUUCGGACCUUGCGCGAUUGAAUGAGCCGAUGUCGGAUUAGCUAGUUGGCGGGGUAAAGGCCCACCAAGGCGACGAUCCGUAGCUGGUCUGAGAGGAUGAUCAGCCACACUGGAACUGAGACACGGUCCAGACUCCUACGGGAGGCGGCAGUGGGGAAUAUUGGAAAAUGGGCGCAAGCCUGAUCCAGCCAUACCGCGUGGGUGAAGAAGGCCUUCGGGUUGUAAAGCCCUUUUGUUGGGAAAGAAAAGCAGCAGGUUAAUACCCCGCUGUUCUGACGGAACCCAAAGAAUAAGCACCGGCUAACUUCGU
rnacentral:rRNA from 1 species